rnacentral:tRNA from 1 species
AAAGCUUUAAGUUAUAUAAACUAUUAACCUUCAAAGUUAAAAAUAAGAAAUAUCUUAAGCUUUA